ACAGUAACACACACAUAGACAGUUAUACACACACAGGCAGGCAGUCACACAGAUAGAAGGUCACACACACAGGCAGGCAGUCACACACAGACAGAUAGUUACAGACAGACACACACAGGCAGGCAGGCAGUCACAUACAGGCAGUCACACACACAGGCAGUCACACACACAGACAGACAGUCACACACACAGACAGACACACAGACAGACAGUCUCACACACACAGGCAGUCACACACACGGGCA